UACGUAGGGUGCAAGCGUUGUCCGGAAUUAUUGGGCGUAAAGAGCUCGUAGGCGGUUCGUCGCGUCGGCUGUGAAAACCUGAGGCUCACCUCAGGCCUGCAUCGAUACGGGCGGACUUGAGUACUGCAGGGGAGACUGGAAUUCCGUGGUGUAGCGGUGAAAUGCGCAGAUAUCAGGAGGAACACCGGUGGCGAAGGCGGGUCUCUGGGCAGUAACUGACGCUGAGGAGCGAAAGCGUGGGGAGCGAACAGG
rnacentral:rRNA from 1 species